AGUGAACGCUGGCGGUAGGCCUAACACAUGCAAGUCGAACGGCAGCACAGUAAGAGCUUGCUCUUACGGGUGGCGAGUGGCGGACGGGUGAGGAAUACAUCGGAAUCUACUUUUUCGUGGGUGAUAACGUAGGGAAACUUACGCUAAUACCGCAUACGACCUACGGGUGAAAGCAGGGGAUCUUCCGACCUUGCGCGAUUGAAUGAGCCGAUGUCGGAUUAGCUAGUUGGCGGGGUAAAGGCCCACCAAGGCGACGAUCCGUAGCUGGUCUGAGAGGAUGAUCAGCGACACUGGAACUGAGACACGGUCCAGACUCCUACGGGAGGCAGCGGUGGGGAAUAUUGGACAAUGGGCGCAAGCCUGAUCCAGCCAUACCGCGUGGGUGAAGAAGGCCUUCGGGUUGUAAAGCCCUUUUGUUGGGAAAGAAAAGCAGCAGGUUAAUACCCCGCUGUUCUGACGGUACCCAAAGAAUAAGCACCGGCUAACUUCGUG
rnacentral:rRNA from 1 species